UUACUUGUCUUUUUUUUUUAUUGUUUUUUUUCUGGUUCCAGGGAUCGAACUCACAACCUUGCACUUGCUGGACAGGUGCUGUGCUGCUGAGCUAAAUCCCCAGCUCCAAUAGUAUCUUUUAAUGGAUGACAUUUUAGCCUGUACUAAAUGCAGUAACUUCAGUAUGAAAAUCAGUGGGAAGAAAUUGGAGCCCAGGCUUAAGCAAGGUCAGGCAGUUGUGAACAACAGGGAGAUUACCAGCACAGAGUACCU
rnacentral:lncRNA from 1 species